UAACUCAUACUCAUAGCGUCUUAAUGCCGGGCUAAGCCUUUAUUUGUCAGUAAGCAUUCCGCUGAAACAUGACUGGCAUGUAUGUGCCCGACCUGGGAUCGAACCCGAGACCUCUUGAUUUCAACGCAAGCGCCUUAUCCACUAAGCUACGGAGGCAGUAGUAGAGGAUAAUUAGUUUUAAAAUAUCACUUGAACUUAAAAAUUAAACGUUUCUUUUGCAGUAUAUGUUGUUUGAUGGAAAAUGAUGAUGCGAAAGGUAAUACAGACCGGCUUUUUCACUUGGUCAAAGAUCAACACUCUGCAUUUACAACUGAGAGGGAUAGCCACAACUCCAGUACGUUAUCUAUCAAACCAGAGAACAGACACCUGGCAGAAUAACUUUCAGUUACAAGAUGCUGAUCUGGACUUGGACAACCUUCUUGAUGCUAGAAACAGAGACACGAUUCGAGAUAAUAUCACCAGGAGAAAAGGAGUUGGUGACAUUGACAGGGUGAUAGAUUUAUGGAAACAGUAUAGUACAGAGAUUGAUAUGUCAAGGAAAGAGGACUUUCGCCAACAGUUCUUGUCAGCUGCUAGGGAGAUACCAAACUUGUCUCACCCUCAUUCGCCAGUUGGUGAUGAGCACAUGUCCAGGCAGGUGGAGUUGUUCAACAAGCCAAAAUCUGUAUCCUGGCCACUGAAAUCAGUUGUGGAGCUUGGACAACAGUUGGGAAUGUUACGAAUAAGUAAUGUUUCCAUGACUACUGGCCCAUCCACCUACUACUUCACCGACAAGCUUGCACGCAUGGAAUAUGCACUGGUCAAAUACUCAGUGGAUCACCUCCUAAAAAUGGGAUUUGAACUCGUGUCUGUACCAGAUCUCCUGAGACCAGAAAUUAUUGAGGGUUGUGGGUUCAAGACUACAGGGGAGGUUGCGCAGGUAUACAUGCUGGAUCCAAGUCGUCAUGACAACCUAUGUCUGGCUGGCACAGCAGAAAUGCCACUGGCAGGAUUGCUGGCUGGUGGAACUCUUGACUUUGAAGAAUUGCCAAAGAAGUUUAUGGCUGUCAGUAGAUGCUACAGAGCCGAGACUUCUCAUGCAGAAAACGAACUGGGCAUAUACAGGGUCCACCAGUUUACAAAGGUGGAGAUGUUUGCAGUAGCUUCAAGUGAGACCAUGGAAGAAGGGAAUGAGCUACUCAUGCAGUUACUGGACAUAGAGAAAACACUGUUUGGGCAGCUCGGGCUACAUUACAGAGUGCUGGACAUGUCGACAGCAGAGUUAGGUGCCCCUGCUCACAGGAAGUUUGAUAUGGAGGCAUGGAUGCCAACCAAACAGUUCUGGGGAGAGCAGUGCGUCCAAUUGUACAGACUACCAGAGUAGAAGACUUCAUCUGAGGUACAAGUCUCCAUUGGGCCAGCUGAAACAUUGCACCACUGUAAAUGGGACAGCAUGCGCAGUUCCGAGAACCAUUAUAGCACUGUUGGAAACUCACCAAAACGAGGACGGCAGUGUGAGCGUACCGGAAGGGCUGCGACCGUACAUGGGUGGGGACAGUGUGAUCCGAGCCUCGGAUCAGGGGCC